UAGAGUUUGAUCCUGGCUCAGAUUGAACGCUGGCGGCAGGCCUAACACAUGCAAGUCGAGCGGUAGAGAGAAGCUUGCUUCUCUUGAGAGCGGCGGACGGGUGAGUAAUGCCUAGGAAUCUGCCUGGUAGUGGGGGAUAACGUUCGGAAACGGACGCUAAUACCGCAUACGUCCUACGGGAGAAAGCAGGGGACCUUCGGGCCUUGCGCUAUCAGAUGAGCCUAGGUCGGAUUAGCUAGUUGGUGAGGUAAUGGCUCACCAAGGCGACGAUCCGUAACUGGUCUGAGAGGAUGAUCAGUCACACUGGAACUGAGACACGGUCCAGACUCCUACGGGAGGCAGCAGUGGGGAAUAUUGGACAAUGGGCGAAAGCCUGAUCCAGCCAUGCCGCGUGUGUGAAGAAGGUCUUCGGAUUGUAAAGCACUUUAAGUUGGGAGGAAGGGUUGUAGAUUAAUACUCUGCAAUUUUGACGUUACCGACAGAAUAAGCACCGGCUAACUCUGUGCCAGCAGCCGCGGUAAUACAGAGGGUGCAAGCGUUAAUCGGAAUUACUGGGCGUAAAGCGCGCGUAGGUGGUUUGUUAAGUUGGAUGUGAAAUCCCCGGGCUCAACCUGGGAACUGCAUUCAAAACUGACUGACUAGAGUAUGGUAGAGGGUGGUGGAAUUUCCUGUGUAGCGGUGAAAUGCGUAGAUAUAGGAAGGAACACCAGUGGCGAAGGCGACCACCUGGACUAAUACUGACACUGAGGUGCGAAAGCGUAGGGAGCAAACAGGAUUAGAUACCCUGGUAGUCCACGCCGUAAACGAUGUCAACUAGCCGUUGGAAGCCUUGAGCUUUUAGUGGCGCAGCUAACGCAUUAAGUUGACCGCCUGGGGAGUACGGCCGCAAGGUUAAAACUCAAAUGAAUUGACGGGGGCCCGCACAAGCGGUGGAGCAUGUGGUUUAAUUCGAAGCAACGCGAAGAACCUUACCAGGCCUUGACAUCCAAUGAACUUUCUAGAGAUAGAUUGGUGCCUUCGGGAACAUUGAGACAGGUGCUGCAUGGCUGUCGUCAGCUCGUGUCGUGAGAUGUUGGGUUAAGUCCCGUAACGAGCGCAACCCUUGUCCUUAGUUACCAGCACGUAAUGGUGGGCACUCUAAGGAGACUGCCGGUGACAAACCGGAGGAAGGUGGGGAUGACGUCAAGUCAUCAUGGCCCUUACGGCCUGGGCUACACACGUGCUACAAUGGUCGGUACAGAGGGUUGCCAAGCCGCGAGGUGGAGCUAAUCCCAUAAAACCGAUCGUAGUCCGGAUCGCAGUCUGCAACUCGACUGCGUGAAGUCGGAAUCGCUAGUAAUCGCGAAUCAGAAUGUCGCGGUGAAUACGUUCCCGGGCCUUGUACACACCGCCCGUCACACCAUGGGAGUGGGUUGCACCAGAAGUAGCUAGUCUAACCUUCGGGAGGACGGUUACCACGGUGUGAUUCAUGACUGGGGUGAAGUCGUAACAAGGUAGCCGU
rnacentral:rRNA from 1 species